rnacentral:rRNA from 1 species
GCAGUCGCCGCGGUAAUACGAAGGGUGCAAGCGUUACUCGGAUUUAUUGGGCGUAAAGCGAGCGCAGGCGGUUUGAUAAGUCUGAAGUUAAAGGCUGUGGCUCAACCAUAGUUCGCUUUGGAAACUGUCAAACUUGAGUGCAGAAGGGGAGAGUGGAAUUCCAUGUGUAGCGGUGAAAUGCGUAGAUAUAUGGAGGAACACCGGUGGCGAAGGCAGCCCCCUGGGCCAAUACUGACGCUCAUGCACGAAAGCGUGGGGAGCAAACAGGAUUAGAUACCCCCGUAGUCCCUGUCUCUUAUACA